AACGCUAGCUACAGGCUUAACACAUGCAAGUCGAGGGGCAGCAUGAACUUAGCUUGCUAAGUUUGAUGGCGACCGGCGCACGGGUGAGUAACGCGUAUCCAACCUUCCGCUUACUCGGGAAUAGCCUUUCGAAAGAAAGAUUAAUACCCGAUGGUAUCUUAAGCGCACAUGCAAAUAAGAUUAAAGAUUUAUCGGUAAGCGAUGGGGAUGCGUUCCAUUAGAUAGUAGGCGGGGUAACGGCCCACCUAGUCGACGAUGGAUAGGGGUUCUGAGAGGAAGGUCCCCCACAUUGGAACUGAGACACGGUCCAAACUCCUACGGGAGGCAGCAGUGAGGAAUAUUGGUCAAUGGGCGCGAGCCUGAACCAGCCAAGUAGCGUGAAGGAUGAAGGUCCUACGGAUUGUAAACUUCUUUUAUAAGGGAAUAAAGUCACCUACGUGUAGGUGUUUGUAUGUACCUUAUGAAUAAGCAUCGGCUAACUCCGUGCCAGCAGCCGCGGUAAUACGGAGGAUGCGAGCGUUAUCCGGAUUUAUUGGGUUUAAAGGGAGCGUAGACGGGUCGUUAAGUCAGCUGUGAAAGUUUGAGGCUCAACCUUAAAAUUGCAGUUGAUACUGGCGUCCUUGAGUACGGUUGAGGCAGGCGGAAUUCGUGGUGUAGCGGUGAAAUGCUUAGAUAUCACGAAGAACUCCGAUUG
rnacentral:rRNA from 1 species